AGUAACGGCGAGUGAAGCGGCAACAGCUCAAAUUUGAAAUCUGGCUCUCGGGCCCGAGUUGUAAUUUGUAGAGGAUACUUUUGAUGCGGUGCCUUCCGAGUUCCCUGGAACGGGACGCCAUAGAGGGUGAGAGCCCCGUCUGGUUGGAUGCCAAAUCUCUGUAAAGUUCCUUCGACGAGUCGAGUAGUUUGGGAAUGCUGCUCUAAAUGGGAGGUAUAUGUCUUCUAAAGCUAAAUACCGGCCAGAGACCGAUAGCGCACAAGUAGAGUGAUCGAAAGAUGAAAAGCACUUUGAAAAGAGAGUUAAAAAGUACGUGAAAUUGUUGAAAGGGAAGCGUUUAUGACCAGACUUGGGCUUGGUUGAUCAUCUGGGGUUCUCCCCAGUGCACUCUUCCAGUCCAGGCCAGCAUCAGUUUUCGCCGGGGGAUAAAGACUUCGGGAAUGUGGCUCUCUCCGGGGAGUGUUAUAGCCCGUUGUGUAAUACCCUGGCGGGGACUGAGGUUCGCGCAUCUGCAAGGAUGCUGGCGUAAUGGUCAUCAACGACCCGUCUUGAAACACGGACCAAGGAGUCGUCUUCGUAUGCGAGUGUUCGGGUGUCAAACCCCUACGCGUAAUGAAAGUGAACGCAGGUGAGAGCUUCGGCGCAUCAUCGACCGAUCCUGAUGUUCUCGGAUGGAUUUGAGUAAGAGCAUACGGGGCCGGACCCGAAAGAAGGUGAACUAUGCCUGUAUAGGGUGAAGCCAGAGGAAACUCUGGUGGAGGCUCGCAGCGGUUCUGACGUGCAAAUCGAUCGUCAAAUAUGGGCAUG
rnacentral:rRNA from 1 species